rnacentral:rRNA from 1 species
CGUUGUCCGGAAUUACUGGGCGUAAAGAGCUCGUAGGUGGUUUGUCGCGUCGUUCGUGAAAACUCACAGCUCAACUGUGGGCGUGCGGGCGAUACGGGCAGACUAGAGUACUGCAGGGGAGACUGGAAUUCCUGGUGUAGCGGUGGAAUGCGCAGAUAUCAGGAGGAACACCGGUGGCGAAGGCGGGUCUCUGGGCAGUAACUGACGCUGAGGAGCGAAAGCGUGGGGAGCGAACAGG